rnacentral:rRNA from 1 species
GACGAACGCUGGCGGCGUGGAUUAGGCAUGCAAGUCGAACGGUAUCAUCCUUUCGGGGGUGAGAGAGUGGCGAACUGGUGAGUAACACGUAGGUUACCUACCCUCAAGACGGGGACAACCCAGGGAAACUUGGGCUAAUACCGGAUGUGAGCAACUUUUAGUUGUUUGAAAGGUGGCGUAAGCUGUCGCUUGGGGAUGAGCCUGCGUCCUAUUAGUUAGUUGGUGAGGUAACGGCUCACCUAGGCAAUAAUAGGUAGGCGGCCUUAACGGGUGGUCGCCCACACUGGGAUUGAGAUACGGCCCAGACUCCUACGGGAGGCAGCAGUCGAGAAUAGUCCACAAUGGUCGGAAGACUGAUAGUGCGACGCCGCGUGAACGAUGAAUCCCUUCGGGGUGUAAAGUUCUUUUAUAUGUGAGCAGUGCUUCUUAUAUUAACAGUAUGGGGAAGAGAUAUUAGCAUAUGAAUAAGCAACGGCUAACUCCGUGCCAGCAGCCGCGGUAAU